GUGGACGUGGUGCACGGAGCACAGCUGCGCUGGAUAUCCUCUCUAGUCCUAUGUGUAGUCCGCAGUCAACCGGGGUUCGACUCCCCGCGUCCACA